rnacentral:rRNA from 1 species
UUACGGGAGGCAGCAGUGGGGAAUAUUGGGCAAUGGAGGAAACUCUGACCCAGCGACGCCGCGUGCGGGAUGAAGGCCUUCGGGUUGUAAACCGCUUUCAGUAGGGAAGAAGCGAAAGUGACGGUACCUACAAAAGAAGCACCGGCUAACUAUGUGCCAGCAGCCGCGGUAAUA